CUACGUGCCAGCAGCCGCGGUAAUACGGAAGGUCCGGGCGUUAUCCGGAAUUAUUGGGUUUAAAGGGAGCGCAGGCGGGAGUGUAAGUCAGCUGUUAAAUAUCAGGGCCCAACUCUGUUAUGCAGUUGAAACUAUAUUUCUUGAGUACGCACAGGGAUGGCGGAAUUCAGGGUGUAGCGGUGAAAUGCUUAGAUAUCCUGAAGAACUCCGAUCGCGAAGGCAGCCAUCCGGAGCGUAACUGACGCUGAGGCUCGAAGGUGCGGGUAUCAAACAGGAUUAGAUACCCUGGUAGUCCGCACGGUAAACGAUGUAUACUCGCAGUUCGGUUAUUAUGGUCGAGCUGUCCAGCGAAAGCGUUAAGUAUUCCACCUGGGGAGUACGCCGGCAACGGUGAAACUCAAAGGAAUUGACGGGGGCCCGCACAAGCGGAGGAACAUGUGGUUUAAUUCGAUGAUACGCGAGGAACCUUACCCGGGCUUGAAC
rnacentral:rRNA from 1 species